CAUCAGGUGACUGAAUGCAAGUAAUGGUCUCUUAAACCAAAAAAUAGUAAAUUAGCACUUAUUUCUGAUG
rnacentral:tRNA from 1 species